GCGAAGUGCGGAGACGGGGUUUUGGAGACGGUGGAUGGAGGAGGGGGAGGGAAAGCUGCCAACUUUGGAUACCAACCCCGUACACCCACCGAAGGGGAUGUCCCACUUUUUCCAGCGCUGGGAGCAAAAAGAUAACAGUGAGCGAGGUUGAAAAGGAGUCUACUCCUAUGUAAAUCUUCUGCAGGUUGUGCAGUGGACUUCACCUAGUCUCCCAUCUCCAGCUAAUUUGGCCAAGAAUAGUCACCUGGCGCAAGGUGGGGAGGGAGCUCUCAAUUGGCCAGCAACUUCUGACGUGUGACCUGACUGAACAAUGAGAGGCUCGAGUGAAAUUACCAGCUGGUAGUAGGACAGAGGAUAUAGAUACAUGGAAUGGAGCUGAGCCAAAUUAAUGACAAAGGACUAGACAAGAAUGACUGUUGAUGAUCACCUAUGCUGAGAUCACAAAGCUGCCCCGAGUCCAGAAGCAGGUUCACUGAGGGAGGCUCAACCAUGUUACCAAUCUUGUUUGAGAUUAAUGUUCCUUGUUGUAAACCUCAAGUCUG
rnacentral:lncRNA from 1 species